rnacentral:rRNA from 1 species
UGCCCGAACGUAACACGACACCACCGUCCGCCAAAUAACUACGAGUACAAACUUAAAAUUUAAAGGACUUGACGGUAUUUCACACUCAACCUAGAGGAGCCUGUCUACUAACCGAUAACCCACGAUUAACCCAACCGCUUCUAGCCCCCAGCCUAUAUACCACCGUCGCCAGCCUACCUUAUAAAAGAAACAAAGUGAGCUAAACAGUAAUACACUAAAACGACAGGUCAAGGUGUAGCUAAUGAAUCGGAUUAGGAUGGGCUACAUUUUCUAACCCAGACUAUACGAACCAGGCCAUGAAAUAAGCCUUCGAAGGCGGAUUUAGUAGUAAGCCGAGAACAUAAUACUCAACUGAAACCAAUGCAAUGAAAUGCGU